rnacentral:rRNA from 1 species
AGGACGAACGCUGGCGGCGUGCUUAACACAUGCAAGUCGAACGGUGAUCCUGGGAGCUUGCUCCUGGGUGAUCAGUGGCGAACGGGUGAGUAACACGUGAGUAACCUGCCCUUCACUCUGGGAUAACAUCGGGAAACCGGUGCUAAUACUGGAUACGACCUGAACAGGCAUCUGUAUCGGGUGGAAAGAUUUAUUGGUGGGGGAUGGACUCGCGGCCUAUCAGCUUGUUGGUGAGGUAAUGGCUCACCAAGGCGACGACGGGUA